rnacentral:rRNA from 1 species
CCUACGGGGGACAGCAGUGAGGAAUAUUGGUCAAUGGACGAGAGUCUGAACCAGCCAAGUAGCGUGAAGGAUGACUGCCCUAUGGGUUGUAAACUUCUUUUAUAUGGGAAUAAAAUGUUCCACGUGUGGGAUUUUGUAUGUACCAUAUGAAUAAGGAUCGGCUAACUCCGUGCCAGCAGCCGCGGUAAUACGGAGGAUCCGAGCGUUAUCCGGAUUUAUUGGGUUUAAAGGGAGCGUAGGUGGAUUGUUAAGUCAGUUGUGAAAGUUUGCGGCUCAACCGUAAAAUUGCAGUUGAAACUGGCAGUCGUGAGUACAGUAGAGGUGGGCGGAAUUCGUGGUGUAGCGGUGAAAUGCUUAGAUAUCACGAAGAACUCCGAUUGCGAAGGCAGCUCACUGGACUGCAACUGACACUGAGGCUCGAAAGUGUGGGUAUCAAACAGGAUUAGAUACCCCAGUAGUC